CAUGUGCUCUCUCCUUCCGAUAAAAGAUAUCUCAAGUUUGUCAAAAUUUAUAUGUAUCUAUACAUGACUUAGUAUAUAAAUACACUUAAAUUUAGUCAAAAUUGAUACAUCUUUUGUUGGACGGAGGGAGUGCCAA
rnacentral:pre_miRNA from 1 species